CCUACGGGUGGCUGCAGUGGGGAAUAUUGGACAAUGGGCGAAAGCCUGAUCCAGCCAUGCCGCGUGUGUGAAGAAGGCCUUCGGGUUGUAAAGCACUUUCAGUGGGGAAGAAAGCCUUGGGGCUAAUACCCUCGAGGAAGGACAUCACCCACAGAAGAAGCACCGGCUAACUCCGUGCCAGCAGCCGCGGUAAUACGGAGGGUGUGAGCGUUAAUCGGAAUUACUGGGCGUAAAGCGCGCGUAGGCGGUCUGAUAAGCCGGUUGUGAAAGCCCCGGGCUCAACCUGGGAACGGCAUCCGGAACUGUCAGGCUAGAGUGCAGGAGAGGAAGGUAGAAUUCCCGGUGUAGCGGUGAAAUGCGUAGAGAUCGGGAGGAAUACCAGUGGCGAAGGCGGCCUUCAGGACUGACACUGACGCUGAGGUGCGAAAGCGUGGGUAGCAAACAGGAUUAGAUACCCCAGUAGUC
rnacentral:rRNA from 1 species